rnacentral:rRNA from 1 species
AGUGAACGCUGGCGGUAGGCCUAACACAUGCAAGUCGAACGGAAGCACAGUAAGAGCUUGCCCUUACGGGUGGCGAGUGGCGGACGGGUGAGACAUACAUAGGAAUCUACUUUUUCGUGGGGAAUAACGGAGGGAAACUUACGAUACUACCGCAUACGACCUACGGGAGAAAUCAACGGAUCUUCGGACCUUGGGCGUCUCAAUGAGACGGUGCCGGAUUAGCUAGUUGGGGGGGUAAAGGCACACCAAGGCAACGAUGCGUAGCUGGUCUGAGAGGAUGAUCAGCCACACUGGAACUGAGACACGGUCCAGACUCCUACGGGAGGCAGCAGUAGGGAAUAUUGCACAAUGGGCGCAAGCCUGAUCCAGCCAUACCGCGUGAGUGAAGAAGGUCUUCGGGUUGUAAAGCUCUUUUGUUGGGAAAGAAAAACAGUAUAUGAAUCUACCGCUGUUCUGACGGUACCUAAACAGUAAGCACCGGCUAACUUCGUG